GCAAACCCUAGAUCCGUUUGUGCAGAAAGACCUCUGAUAGCCUUGACGAAGACGAGAUUGAUGUUGGGAUCGUCGAUCUAACUAGUCAAACUACCCGGUACUCGAGAUCCACGGUGGUAUCGUGUAUGCUGUCACACUUCGUGCCUUCCAAAGGUGCCUAGAGGACGGGCCAAAUGUAGCAGAGCGACAACUCGGGAGUGGACUCCCUAUUAGCAGGGGGCAGGAGACGGCCAUCUUGAGGCGUAUCAUGACCUACAAGCAAGAUCGGCGAGACUUGUGAAGGCAACUUGAUUGGAAGUCAGAGGAUCCAUAGUACCUGAAGCCCCACGGAACAAAGGAGAAAGGGAAGGAAGGCAAAGCCCUAAGCUUUUUGCCUCUGCUCAAGAUCGGAAAAGUUAUCUUCUCUUCUCAUCUAUCGCGAUUUCUUUGAGAAUCUUCUUUCUUCCUCCAGCAUCAUCAGCCACUCCUCCGAUCCUUGUCUUUCUGAUCGCCUGCUGCCUUUUCUCUCUCGAGACUCCGAUUGUUCCUAGACUCACAAAGAAGUCACUCCAUUGAGACUUAAAAGUUUUCCCAUUUCGAAGAAUUAUCUUUGAUAUAUGCGAAUGAUCGAGCUACUGGAAAUGAUGCUUAAACUGCUGAAGAUAUUCUCAAAGAGAUGGAGCUUGAAGAUAUGACAAAUGAAGGAGAAACUAAGGUUAAUAUAUUAAAUUAAAAUGAAUCCUCUAAUGCGAAUACCCCCACAUCAAAAGACGUUUUGCGUGCUCAUUUGCCACCUCGAGAGGAACCAGAAAGUGCUUCUUCGGGAAGAAAGAGGAAAAAGAAUCAAGCUGACUUAUUAACAAUUUAUGAGGUCGUGAACACUAUGGCAACUGAUAUGAAAGAGUCUUGUGUGAUACUCUCAAAGUGUGUUUACUCUGACAUUGUUCAAGAAAAGUUCCCUCAACUUCUGGGAGCACUUUGUAGUGUUGAUGGCCUUGCUUUAGUACAAGUGUGCAUGGCUAUUCGAAAGUCCUGCUAUUUUUUGGUACCGACUCUGAAGACCGCUUGGAAAUUGUUCAUGAUUUCCUUGCAAAUGAUUAAAGAAGGGCCACAAGUUGAACUUCUUCGUGGAGCUUUUUUGGGCUCUUGCUGUUAAGGUAAAAAUAAAAUUGCUCUAAUGCUGAAAUAAUAGUUUGGUUCUUUUUUGCAAUAAUAAUAGUAUGAAGGUGAUUUGGUUUUU